CACACACACUGUCUAUUAAAUGCUCAGUUUAAAACGGGAGAGGGUUACGGUUACAAUGUCCAGUGCACCUUAACUCUUUUGCUCUUUUAACGACAAACGCAUGACAUUUACAUUUUUUGUUGUUCUUUUUUUAUCACACUUCGUCCGUUUUCACACACUCGCAGUCCUUUGACCGACAGGAUGGCUAUUGUCAGGUGAUUUUACACUGAAUUAGCAUAUGGCUGUUUUUUUGUUUUUUGUUUUGUUUGUUUUGUUUUUGUCGUUGCUGUUUAUUUCACUAUUCAAUGCAGCAUUGUGUUCUUAGCAAAGGCGGGUUUUCAAUCGCUCUGCUUCCCAGAGAAGUUUUCAUUCUAAUUCAAGGCGACCGUCCCUCCCGUCUUCUGCGGCAGUCUAGACUUGAAAUUGCUUUUUUAGAAUAGGGGUACUGAGGUGCAAAGGAUGAAUAGAGCUCCUUCAACAACUGCGCUUGUGCCACCAGCGGUGAAAAGCCUUGGUAGCAAACAGCGGGAAAUCCAAAGUUGUUUGUAAGAACGUUAGGUCUGAAUGGGGUUGAAGGUUCGAGAUACAAAUAAGAACUUUUUCUGCAAGAAUGCGCAAGUCCUAGACUCUGAUUUUUUUACAGUUUAACAUCUUUUAAAUAUAUAUAUAUAUGUGUGUGUGUGUGUGUGUGUGUGUGUGUUUUUUAAGGUGGAAUGUUGCAUGAGCAGAGGGACUGCGAGGUCAUUUCUGCACAUUGGGGCUCCAAUGAUGCAAUGCCGAAAUUCUCCACCUGAGUGCGCUGACCCUUCUGGCCUGCCUCGACCACGCCCCCCCGUGUAGUUGUGCCUCGUGCCCCGCCCCCUCAGGUGUAGUCCUGUCUCAGGCCCCGCCCCCUCACCUGAAUCGCAGGUGCUGCGGGCAAGAUGGCGGCGAGGCGAGUUUGUGUUCCUCCUGUUGCUAAAUUUUAUUUAUUUUUUUAUUUUUUUAUUGCUUUUUAAUUAUUUUGUAUUUCCCUGUGGCAUAGCCUAGUAACAAUGGGACAUCUAAAUGGAUAUUUCUCUGUUUGGAAGAAAAAGAGGAAUCAGGUGUUUAAAGAAUGAGAUGCAUCUCGAUGUUGCCAACUCUGGUCUAGCGUUUGCUUAUUUAUACCUGCCGGGGUUUUCUGACUUCAAGUUUAAAUGGUAAGCCACCUGCUGCGCACACAGACAGCAUUUUUCAUUUGUUUUGUAUGUUUCCUUUCAACCGUCACGAUUGCAAUACCUCUCAGCAUUUCUAUUCAUGUGAGAUCGAUCACUGAAUAUAGAUGCGCAAAUUAUCCGAGCUGGCUACAGAAAACAUGUGAUUUUAAGUGCAUUUAAAAAAAAAAAAAAACUACAGCAACAUUUGACUGUGAAAAAUACAGAACGACUUGAAGAAUGUCAGUUGCAUUCAGACACACGUUGUAAAACACGGUUUGUUUAUUUGCUUUGGAGCUCAAGACAGCACGAACGGUGCAGCUGUGCAGCAAUGAUAGAACGCAUGUAAACACAGAGCCUAACACGGUUUGGGUGAUGCACUGUUGUGUAUCUAUUUCGAGUUAAUCACUGUGUGUGUCUUCUUGUUUAUUUCUGGGGAACGACGAUGCUGGGGUCUGCUCACCCUGAUGUUCCUGCUCUUCGUGACGGUAUCCGUUGCCAUGACGAGGAGGAGUAAUGUAAUGUCUUGUUGAUUUUAACAGUAUUUGUGUAUAUUGUUUUAAUUACUGUUACUUUAUUAUUAUUAUAGUAAGUAUAAUCUAAUUGCUACAGAAAUAUUUGUGCAAUUGUAAUAACACGCUGCUGUUGCUAACGUUUGGAAAUGUUACAUUUACAGAAUGCCUCAAUUGAUUCAAUAAAUGUAUCUUUUUUAUUGUAGUAAUAAAUGUAUCUUUUUUUAUUGUA